AUAUUUAUCUCUAAUCUGCCCACUGAUUAUAAAUUAAAGGGCUGCAGUAUAUUGACUGUACAAAGGUAGCAUAAUAAUUAGUCUUUUAAUUGAAGACUUGUAUGAAAGAUUGGAUGAAAUAUAAACUGUCUCUAAAUUAAAAAUUGAAAUUAAUUUUUUAAUUAAAAAGUUAAAAUAAUUUAAAAAGACGAGAAGACCCUAUAGAGUUUUAUAAUAAAAAUUUUUUAAUAUUUAGUAUAUAAAAAUAAAUUUAAAUGGUUAUUAUUAUUUUAUUGGGGUGAUAGAAAAAUUAAAAUAACUUUUUUUAAUAAAAAAAAAACAUUAAUAAGUGAAAUUAUGAUCCAUAUUUUAUGAUUAUAAGAAAAAAUUACCUUAGGGAUAACAGCGUAAUUUUUUUUUUUAGUACAAAUAAAAAAAAGAGAUUGCGACCUCGAUGUUGGAUUAAGAUAAAAUUUAAAUGCAAAAGUUUAAAAUUUGAGUGAGUUCGAUCCUAAAAUC
rnacentral:rRNA from 1 species